rnacentral:rRNA from 1 species
AGGGAAUCUUGCGCAAUGGGCGAAAGCCUGACGCAGCAAUGCCGCGUGCGGGACGAAGGCCCUAGGGUCGUAAACCGCUUUCAGUAGGGACGAAAAUGACGGUACCUGCAGAAGAAGCUCCGGCCAACUACGUGCCAGCAGCCGCGGUGAUACGUAGGGAGCAAGCGUUGUCCGGAAUUACUGGGCGUAAAGGGCUCGUAGGUGGUUGAGUAAGUCAGAUGUGAAAUCUCAGGGCCCAACCCUGGGCGUGCAUUUGAUACUGCUCUGACUAGAGUCCGGUAGGGGAGUGCGGAAUUCCUGGUGUAGCGGUGAAAUGCGCAGAUAUCAGGAGGAACACCGACAGCGAAGGCAGCACUCUGGGCCGGUACUGACACUGAGGAGCGAAAGCAUGGGUAGCAAAC